AAUUGUAUAAACGUGGAUAAGUCCUAACCAGCGGUUAUCUUUUGGUUAUCUCCCUGGUUUGGUCAAGUUAUCCGUAAACCGAUUGUAUAAAAAAUAAGUUAUCCUAACCAGCGCGUGAUUCGGCUAACUUUUGGACAAUAUUUAACCGACCACUGGGAGUAUGGUUAACUGACUUAUCCAAAACAAAGAUGGCGGACCAGACAUAAACAAGCUCGAUUCCAAACUUAUUUCAACGAUUUUACAGACACAUGGACUCUGCCUAAAUAAAAAACAAAUGGUAUAACAUCGAUAUCCAUGACAGUGAUGAAUUUAGAGUUGAGUGGUUUUACCAUCCAAAGUCAGAAGAACCAGUGUUGAUAAGUUCUACACAUGUCUGCUACAGCAGGGAAUGGAACCAACACCAGAUCUAAUACUUCACGAGCAGUAAGGAUAUACAUAGCAUUAUCAGAGUGUAGCGGUACUAGCCACUUGAUGACCAAGUUCAUCUGACAGACUCCUGUUUUAGGAAACACCACAAACAGGAACUUAAAAGUUCAUGAGAGGAAUAGAAAACGUUUCAAAUUGCUGCUCCCAGAGGGCUUAAUUGUCAACGUCCUAUCUUGUAUUGAUAGGGUUAAAUAAAAAAUGAUUAUUGUUAAUUAUUAUAUUAUCCAUCAAAUUUGAUAUCUUAGAUCUUUUUCUUGCAAUUCAAAUUAUCAUACUAAUGGGGAGUGUUAUAUAAAAGAAAUAAUAAAUACCACUUGUCAUGUUGAAACAAUGUUUAGUUUGAUUAUUGUUUUUAAUUGGAAUGUACCAAAAUAGUCAUUUUAUAUUUAAAUUUCACUCUUAAUGAUUUUCUUUGUAAACUAUUCAUUUGACAGUUAAUGGCUGAAUUGGAAAAUAAACAACAGUAUUUGACAUUAAUUAAAUUGACACAGGACUGCAUUUACUGUAAAAAUAGUUUUUACAAAAGAUGUUUGUCAAACAUUAUGCCCCCCCCCCCUUGAGCGCCAUGUUGUCAGGAUUAUAUUGACAAUUGUAUGAAAUAUGCAUGGACCGAAAUGACAGCUGAUUUGUCACUGACAUUGGAUGCCGUUGAGGCAGUUUUAAGAUUAUGACCAUUCAAUGUUUGAGGAUAGAGUGUGUUUUGACCAUGACCUUUGACUCUACGACCUCAAAACCCAUAGGAGUCAUCAGCUGGUCACCAAAAAUAUAAAUGUCAAGUUUAAGGACCAUGGGUGCAGGAAUUGACAAGUUAUCACACAGACAAGCUUUUUUCGUUCAAGGUCACUGUAACCUUGACCUUUAACCCGAUGACCCCUAAAAUCAUAAGGGGUCAUCUACAGGUCAGACACAACUCCAAGACAAGUUUGAGGGCCAUGGGUGCAGGCAUUGUCGAAUUAUCAUUUGAAACAUUUUCACAUUCAAAGUCACUGUGAACUUGAUCUUUGACCCAAUGACUCCUAAGAUCAAUAAGGGUUAUCUCCUGGUCAGGCCCAGCUUCCAUGUCAAGUUUGAUGAUCAUAGAUUCAGGCAUUGUUGAGAUUUCACUGGGAGAAGAUUUGUUAACUUUUAUGCGUUAAAGGUUACUGUGACCUUGACCUUGACCAGAUGACCCCCAAAGUCAAUAGGGGUCAUCUACUGGUCAGACCCAACCUUCAUGUCAAGUUUGAUGAACAUACGUCCAGAUAUUGUUGAGUUAUCACUUGGACAAGCUUUGGUCUACCGACGGACCGACCGACCGACAUGUGCAAAGCAAUAUACCCCUCUUCUUCGAAGGGGCGGGGGGGAUAGUAACGAACAUUUUGUAUAAAUGAUGAAUGGUUGGUUUUAAAAAAAAUCUUAUAACAAAUAUGAUAAAAUAAAUACAUUAUUGCUAGAGUGUGGUUUUAUUGACUUGUUGUUUGUAAAAUAAAUUUGCAUGUCUCUUCAACACUAACAUUAAAGAUUUUAUUAAUCUUAAAUACAUGUGUGUGUU